rnacentral:tRNA from 1 species
GCACUAAUGGGGUAGUGGUAACCUGGGUCGUUGCCACUCUGAUCUGUUUCGACCCGCCGCGAGUUCGAUUCUCGCUUAGUGCA